UACGUAGGGUGCGAGCGUUGUCCGGAAUUAUUGGGCGUAAAGGGCUCGUAGGCGGUUUGUCGCGUCGGCCGUGAAAACUUGGGGCUUAACCCCAAGCCUGCGGUCGAUACGGGCAGACGUAGAGUUCGGUAGGGGAGACUGGAAUUCCUGGUGUAGCGGUGAAAUGCGCAGAUAUCAGGAGGAACACCGGUGGCGAAGGCGGGUCUCUGGGACGGUACUGACGCUGAGACGCGAAAGCGUGGGGAGCGAACAGG
rnacentral:rRNA from 1 species